AUGACUCAGCAGGCCCUUCAUGGGCUGAAAAAUCUCACAGUGUAGCCGGAUGUUGGAUGGUUUUCCAAGGACACUUCCACAGGCAGAAGCCCUAGAUAGAGCUUCUCAGAUUAUCACAGUGAUUAACCUGCAUGUCCGCUUUGAGGUCAUUAAAUGAGGCCUUACUGCUUGCUGGACACAUCCCCCAGUGGCCUAGUCUGCAACACUGAAUUCAACCCUCUCAAAACUGUGGGCACUGAUGAUCUGACUAUGGAGCCUCUCUUUCAGCAUGGGGAUGGUAAGCCAGAGACGGUUAUCAACAGACUGAAGGCUCUGAAGCCAAACAAAUCCAGUUCUGAAAUAUUAUCAGAACAAAAGCAGGUUGGAAACAUUCUCCGGAAUGGAAACAAGAUUUGGCCCUAUUUACAUGCUUUCCUACAAACUAAAGUUCCACAAACAAGCCAAAAAGCUUCCGUUACUCCAUGAGGAGAAAUGUGUGCAACGAUUAAUAGUUAGGCAGGCCAGACACAGUGGCUUACGCCUGUAAUCCCAGCACUUUGGGAGGCUGAGGCAGGCGGAUCACAAGGUCAGGAGUUUGAGACCAGCCUGGCCAACAUGGUGAAACCCUACCUCUACUAAAAAUACAAAAAUUAGCUGAGUGUGGUGGUAUGCGCCUAUAAUCCCAGCUACUUGGGAGGCUGAGGCAGCAGAAUCUCUUGAACCCAGGAGGUGGAGGUUGCAGUGAGCUGAGAUCCCAUUGCACUCCAGCCUGGGUGACAGAGCAAGACUCCAUCUCAAAAAAAAAAAGAAAAAAAAGGAAGGCAGUAGAUGGGCAAACCUCUCAGUCCUUGCAUUUAGAAGCUACUUUUCCUAAGACUUCCAGUAUGUAUGAAUCUUUGAAAAUUACAUUACUUUUUUUCUUCUGAUUUUCUUCUGGAUACUAAGGAUGUGCUAAAUGAGUUCGAUACCAAGAUUCUUCCUUUGGAAUCAUCUAGUGUGUUUUAUGCAGCUAUCCUCAAAAACGUCAGCAAUGUCUGAACUUUUAAAACAUCUAUUAGAGCAAAAUUGAGAGAGCAUUUGGUAGUAAUCUUUUUGUUCAGUUAAUAAGUGGUUGAUAGAGUUUCCAUAUUUUUCUGGAAAAGUUGUAAAAAGUUACAUGUCAUUUGGGGAAAAUACGUGCUUGGGGAAUUUUUUCAUAGAUUGAUGGCAAAAAAGACAUUUCCAGCACUGUGGAACAUGGGGAGACACUAUGUAAUAUUCCAGAAUGAAAGCAACUGGAUUUACAGAUUUGUUGUAAGACACAAAGUCACGGCUGCCUUUACACUAAGAAAUGUAGAUGCUAGCCAUAUAUACUGUAUUUAUUUUGUUGUUAAGCAUACUUUCAGUUGACUCGGAAUUUUCAAUUUGCUAUAAAAACGUAUCAAUAUAUAGAAAAAUAUUACUUUAAGAUGACUUGUUUCCUUUGAAAAUAGAUAUGUACUGAGGGUUAUGAUUUAUGUCAGAAAUUGACAUCAUUAGUCAUUGGACAAGCACCAAAGUUGAAUGAAUUUUCGACAAAGUGUAAUUAAAGUCUAUAUGUUUUUAGAUGUGACUCCGGUUAAGAAAUGUGUUUUAGGGUCUACCUGCUGGUUUCUCUUUUUAAUCCAAAUGUAGGAUCUGCCCUGAUAAAUACCAAGUUACAGCCCCAUCCCCC